CUUUUGAGAUAUAUGCCUUACUUAGUAUCUACUCUCUUUAAAAUGACUUGGAAUAAUUUUUGAGGUUUACUGACAGAGGUAAAAAUCCCUUUGACUUCAAUGUGGUUGUUUUUUACAUGACACCUUCUCAUGACUUUCUUUUUGACUUUGUCUCCGUGUAGUUUGGUGGUGGGAUAUUUACUUGCUGAUUUUCCUUUAUUUUCCACUGAAUGAAGUUUGUGCUUGAAUGAAGAGUGUAUCUUAAACCCUUUUUUUUUUGGAUGGAUUGCACUUGGAUAAAACUGGCACCACUGUGUUGAUAUGUAAUUAAAUUCUUUACCAUUAUUUAUCUAUGAAUGUGACCAUCGUUAAAUUUAAUUAUAAUGUAUUCCUUUUUAAAUUUCAGUCUGCUGCUUUGUAAAAAUAACUAUAAUUGAUAUUUCAGUUUUUAAAUUUGUAAAUUCUAAUCAUUGUCAUCCAGUGUAUUAGAAAUGAGGAGUCAAGGAGCUAACUCAUGGUUCUGUACUCAUUUUUAAAAACGGCUUGUAAAGGUUGAGAUAUAUCUGGUGACUUUUUCUGAGACUGAAAAUAGGUGAGAAAUUGAUGCAGGAAAAUGUGGGUAGUGAUUCCAUGUUUGUUAGUAACUUGCCAUCAUGGAGGUCAGAGAAUGAAUGAAGUAACGGUAACUCUAUUUUUUGUAUACCUUGUUCUUUGUCAUCUGCAAAAUUGAACUGGAUCAAGUGUUAUUUUGGGCCGGGAACAAAGCUUCAUUCAAAGGUUUCUGAGCUAAUCAUUUUACCAUUUUGUUGACCUUGUACACAGAAUGAGAGUAAUCUGUAUUAUAUAAGGAAAGAACUGAUAAAUAUUUAUUAAAUGACAAAUUUGGACCACAGGCUUUCUUCACCUUGUACAGUAUAGUUACACACACACACACACACACACACACACACACACACACACCCUUUCUGGCAUGGGGUCGUGUCCUGUACUUCUGGGGCUAUUUUACCUCAAAGUGUGUUCUGUUCUCUUUCUACUGCAUUAAGUUUAUUUGAAAUUAUUUGUGCCUGUACUGUAUAUUUCCCUACAGUGGUAAAGAAUUAUGCCAUAGUUUCAUUGGCACCGUUAGAUGAAAGAAAGGUGGCCGUCAGCAAGAUAAAAGUGAAACUGAGUAACUGUUUCAGAAUACUGUGGACUUGUGCAUCGUUAGUAUACUGCUGACGUUUUCUUGGUUUCGUCUGCCAUCUUGAAGUGCAUCUCGAAAGCCCCAUUUGUUACGUAGUGAUACAGCAGCUGAAGCAGGACUUCAUUACAAAUAGCUCUGAGCAUUUGUGUCAUGCCAAUUACCACCGCAUUUCCAAAGUAUAAAUAUAAAUAUACAAGAUCUUUCAGGCUUCUGCAUGAUACUUUGGGGGUGAGUGGACCACCCCAGCCUUUCUCCCAGCAUACGCUGAGCUGCCUUUAGGGGAGCAAUGGCGUGGUUGGCCACACAUGCAUGUUUUCUGUCCAUUUCAGAGUAGAGUGCCUUAGCCAGGCCGGAGGUUUCCUUUGUGUCUCUGCUGACCAGAGUUACCCAGACCUGUGAGAAGUUUCUUGUCAGGUUAUGGUAUGAAACAUGCCCUUUGGUGCUUGACAGAAAUUAAUUCCCCCACAUUUGAGGGGAGCAUGGGAUAGAAAAAUCUUUACCUGACUAGAGUAUGUUAUUGCCGUCUUUCCCAGUCCUUUACUAACAUUCGUGACCGUCAGUGCAUCGCACAGUUUAAAAUUGUCACGGGUUACGGCAGCGCUCCUCCAUUCGCACACAACCGAUGCACACAGCCGGGUAAUACACAAACAGCAAAAUCGUCCUUGGCAUUUGAAUCGCACCAUGCUUAAAAUGCUCUUAAUUCUAAUUUUAAAAAAGCUCCAUGCUGAUUAGUCUAGAAUGUACUUGUACUACUACCAACAUGUCACUUAUUUUAGUAGAGGUUUGGGGAAGAGGAGUGUACGUCUCGGGUUGCCCACAUUCUAAGUAGGUACCAAAAGAGUAUUGAUCAUGACCCGGAGUCUGGGCUCUGGGGGAACAUGCAAGAGAAAAAGCAGGCAUCGGGUCCACUUUAAGGAGAAAAAGGGGUCACCUUAGUGCCCAGUGAUCCUAGUGCAAUACAGAAUUUAAACUUCUCACAUUUCAAUUUAAAUCGUCAUUCCGCCACUAAUUUCAAAUUCAAAUGUGAAUUUGGAAGUUUCCUAAAUGCUCAGUUUUCCAAGAAUUUAUUUCGUAGUCCGUUGAAAAACCUUUGGAAUGUACCUUGCUUGCCAAAGUAGACUUUGAUUCUAUCACCUGUGGAAAAUAAAAAGGUAAACUGAAGGUGUUUGAGUCAAAGGCUCCAUUUCCCCUUUCUAUUCUAACUAGAAGCCUGUGUGUGACUCUUCCUUUCAUUCUUCUCCUGGGCUUCCUUUGAACUUGCCACCACCGAGGACAGAGGCGCCAACUUGCUCUGUAGCGCCUAGAUAUUGCCACAUUCCAAUCUCCUUGAUUGCCUUAGAUCUCUUUGCUGGUCUAGGACUGGGAAUGUGCUGGAGGCAACAGAAUGAAGCCGAUGGGCUAGAACUUUUGGCUGUGGGUCCCCAGAAAGGCCAAAAAUAAAUACAGAAAUCUUUGGUUGCGUUGAUUCCUAUGUUCAGAGUGGCCUUUAGCAGUUCUGGACUUGGUUGAGCACUCUGUGGGAGAUUUGUGAAGUCCAGUUAGAAUUUUCUUUUUCUUCUCAAGUGUCUUUGUAAGGCAGCAUGCCCUUUCUUGAACACCCUGUGGGUGAAUAACCUUCCUAAAUUAGCUGCUGGUACUGGAACCUUCCAAGAGGAAUUUUAAUUAGUGUGCUGCAUUUGAAGCACUUUGACAUGUAUAUUUUAACUGACAGUUUUAACAGGCAAAUGGUGUGAAACUAAUCACCGUGAAACUUGGAAGUGUGAUGCUCUCUCUGUUUUAGGAAGCUUAAGUAAAUUUCUGAUUUUUCUUUUAUUAAUUUUGUGACCCAUGUGACUUGCGUAGUUUACUUUCCGUCUUUGACAGUGGCCCAGAUGACUGGCAUUGGCAGGCAGUUACACUAGGGUUUCUGGUAAAUCCUGGUUGUCGAGCUUUUCCAGAGAGAGUGGCGACACGUACCUUCUUCCUCGUGUGAAGCCAUGGGAGUGGAAGCUGCUGGCUGAUUCGUUGCAGGGCUUCCACAGUGCAAAAUAAAUGUAACCUUACUUUCUAACCCACAUGCUAGUACUACGCUUUGCUCUUCAAUAAACAAAUAUGCGAGAGAUAGUAAUCCAGCGGAUUUUUCUGGUUUGUUUUUAAGCGGGGACCUGCUCUUAAGACAGAGAGAUCUUCAAUGAGCUAAUAUUUAGGGAAGCAGAAAAUGUUCUGCCAUCUGUAGCCUUCUCACAGGUGGCCGGAGUGAGGAGACUGUGUUGCAUUCGGUCAGAAAGGCCGGGUUCCCAGAAUUGGAAAGUGGCACGUGGACGGAUUUUAGAAUAUCUUAACGAGGGCUUAUCUCUAUAGGAAAGUCCAUGUGGACCUAACAGAAGGAUUGUGUGGUCCAUUCACAUUGUCUUACUCUUCACAGAAUCAUUUGUAGAAAGGUAGGCUAAAACAAAGUGGUGCUGUUUUUAAAGCUUGUGAAUUGGAUCAUGGCCAUAGAGUACCUAAUGCUACAUGGAACUUAAAGUCAGUAUUAAAGAUACCAGGAUUGGCUAAAUGCUGGGGAUGCUUUAUGGCUCUUUGGCUAAAGUCUUCUCUUGAGCAGUUUCUAUGGGUAACCAUUAAAAUUUGGAAUUGAUUUUGUUUUUUUUAUUAAAGCAUACACAACUUGCCAUGAGCCCAAGAUUCUUCUAUUCUUGACGAGCACUUUUUAAUUCCAAGGAGUAAGUUCUUGACCUUACGUGGAACACGUUUAGUUAGUACUUGAUAUUACUAACUCGGUACUGGAGGAAUGUUCAUUUCACAAGAUCUGUGAAUGUUGCAUUUUAUAUCUGUGUGAAUUACUGGUAUCAUUCAGCAUCAGACUUUAACAACUGCUGAUUGAAACUGCCCACAGUAUUAACAUUGUAGGUUUUGUUUAGAUAACUUAAACGAAAUGAGUCAGCUUUCGGGAGACAAAGACCCAGCUACAUGUAAUGACAUGCUCGUUCCAAAACGUGCCAAGAAAGCAGACUUCAGUGUUACACUCCAAAUUUUAGUUGUUUUAUGAAAGUAGCAUUUCCUCUGGGUAGUGGGGAAGCAGUGAAUUACUGCCCAGGUGCAGACUCCCUGACCCCUACCUCGUCCCCUUCCCCUCCCGUAGGACAAAACAGGUUAAAUUUGUAGCCACCUGUAGGAAAAGAAAUGGCUACUUUUCUGAGUAAGACUUCGUGCCCUGUGACUAAGGACAGGUGGCAGGCAUCCUGCCGAAUCAGUUAGUACCUUGUGUGGCUCAGACCCGUUGCAGUUUGCUGUGUGUGGUAUUCUGGAACAAGGACGGCUCCGUGCCUUCUCAGGUACCUAUUAGCAACACCACUUACGCAACUGGAACGUGUGUGCCACAAGCAGAGUGUGUCAGUGAGAUAAAGGGGAACACAAAGUCUUUCAUUUCCUCUUUCAGAUAGUUGAAUGGAGCAUAUUCUUAAUGGGUCUGUCUAGAACUUGCUGUGUUCGUGGUAAAUGUAGCAUUUAUCUGGUUAUGUGUGGUGUGUGUGUAUAUACGUAUUUAAUAUGUACACAUAGGUUUUCUGCAUAUCUAUGUAUGAUAUAUUCAUAUAUACAUGCAGUGUGCUCUUGAUUAUCUGCAAAAUGGUACACCCUCGUUAGAUUGUCUCUUCCUGUUGACCUAAUCGGCACGUAGCCCCUAACUCCGAAGCCUCUUCCUCCUCUAGAGCCACAGUCGUUCCUAGUUGCAGUUCAUCUCAAUCCCCACGGAAGGCCCUUGUGAAAUACGUCUCUUUCUGUUUCCCUUCCACCGGGGAUUGUGAGCCAGAAAGACAGUUUUUGAAGAAGACGGCUGCUUCCAUCAGGUUUCAGUCUUCUGGCUCUGAAUGGUGUUGGGGCCCAUCCCUGGCCAGAAGGCAGCUCUGGGAGCAGUUGUUGUGCUCAAGAGCUCGAGGGGGGAAGAGAUCUAGCUCUUGCAGAAAUGGGGCUUUACAACUUGCUUAAAAGUUCCUUAUCUGCAGGGUUGUGAAGUCGUAGACAGUUUGGUCCACAAAUAGAUCCUAUCACUGUUACUUUUGCAUCGUUGGUGUUACUGUUCCCCAUUGCUGGCCCCGAUAAUCAAGACCUGACUGUUUCUUGCCAGUGGAUUCUGGAAGCCUUGCCUUCUGAACUGGAUUUAUGUUUAUUUCUGCUGCUGUGAACCCCAAAAGUAAUGCAGCUUUGAAGAAGGUGAGGGGAAGAUGCCCCGUAUUUUGCCCCGGGGCUGCCUCUCCAGCGGUGUGCUUUUAAUCCCCUGCGCCACCCAGCCUCUCGGUUGCCCCAGCGGUUCCUCCUACCCUUCUGUCCGCAAAUCUCGAACACCCAGCGGGUACCUGACACAUAGCAGGCACGCACCAGCUCUGCUUUUGGAGUAGUGCCUACCAAGGCGGACCAGACUCUGGAUGCUUGUGAGUCAUCACGGCAGACAUCACCUACAACCCUCCCCCACAACCCUCUCACCCGUGACAUUGGCCUGCUGCAGUCUCUUCAGGAUCUCCUGUUACGACCCUUUAAAGACAACAACACAACAACUGUUUUAUUAUGUCAAAAGUGAUUUGUUAUUUGUAAGCUUUUUUUAAUUAAAAAAAAAUUUUUUUUGAGUUUA